rnacentral:rRNA from 1 species
AAUCAACGCUGGCGGCGUGCCUCAGACAUGCAAGUCGAACGGUUAAGACUCCCUUCGGGGAGUGUAUAAAGUGGCGCACGGGUGAGUAACACGUAGGUAAUCUACCUUCGGGUGGGGAAUAACGUCGGGAAACCGACGCUAAUACCGCAUAAUGCAGCGGCAUCUAUUGAUGACAGUUGUUAAAGGAGCAAUCCGCCUGAAGAGGAGCCUGCGGCAGAUUAGGUAGUUGGUAAGGUAAUGGCUUACCAAGCCUGCGAUCUGUAUCCGACCUGAGAGG